rnacentral:rRNA from 1 species
GCAAAAAGGAGGGGCGCGAUCUCGCGGACUGCACGCCCGUUGAUCCAUCUGUCCUCCCAGAAUAGGGCGCGUUGGCCAUUGCCAAUAGUCAUGGUAGUGGAGGCGAGGAAGAGCGCGCGCUCCUCGGGCGCGAAUUGCAGGUCAAGGCCGUUCCAGGCCCUGCUAUCAUCGACUCGGCUGAGCCAUUGCCACCUCAUGCGAAGGGCAAGGCCAGUGCGCUCGAGAUCGUGAACGCCGAGGCCACCGAACUGGAUAGGCCGGCAGACACGCCGCCAGUUGACGUGGCAAUUGCCUCCAUUAGCCUCGGCGCGGCCAGCCCAAAGGAAUCCUCUUUCAAUCUUCUCCAAAAGUUUGAUGAUCUUCUUUGGCGGUGCAAGCACAAGGAGACCAUGUAUGACCUGCUGUUUCCACCGAUUGCAUUAUUUAAUGUCAUGAAACGGCUUGAGACUUCGGUUGUCUGACCACAGUAUAUUUGUGAAGGUUGAUAUAGUAUGGUGUUUUAUCUAUUUCCUUGUUAAGAAUGAAUGCAUGCAGGAAGAGUUCCAUCACACUCUAGAAGGUGCUAGGGACUGGCAUGUUAACAGAAGUAAAAUUUGUGGUACACCACUUCCGUUGUGGAUCAGUGAUGAUGGCGAAGAAAUUCUAGUUAUGGAUUCCAUUGAGAAACUUGAAAAGUUAUCUGGUGGCAAGGACGCUGUAAGGCUAUAUUUGGUAAAUUCUCAAGUUGCAUGGGUGCAGUCUCUACAUUUCAAAUUGAGUGGUAUUUCUGAUUCUGUGAAAGCUGUACUCCCCCGAUGGUAUAAUUUGUAUAAAUUUCUUGUCCAAAAUGCAAAGAAACUUCACAGCGAGGACCUCACAGCAUUUUCUCCCAUUGACCAUGCUUCACUUCUGAUGUCAUCCAAUGUGUUAGAUGGCUGGCUACACUCAGUAACUGUACGUCUCGUCAAAUUUGUUCGCCAAGAAAUGGAUGAUCCGCUUUACACGGUUGUGCCAUAUUUGGUAAAAUACAUUGACAAUCUUGCUGAAAUUUAUGUGCAUUUUAAUUACUUCCGUCUUGUCGGCUGUACUGACCGAGAGGACCAUAUAAUCUCUCUUUCAAUAAUCUACCAUGCCCUUGUGACAAUUUGUUUGGUAUUGGCUCCAUUUACACCCUUCUUUACUGAAGUUCUUUACCGAAAUCUACGCAAGGUGUCAAACAAGUCAGAGGAGAGCAUUCUUUUCUGCAAUUUUCCUUCAGAAACUGGGGAGAGAGAUGAGCGUCUUGAGCAAAGUGUAGAUAAGAUGACGAUUAUUGGGCUUGGCCACAAUAUUCGUGAACAGCACAAUAUAGCUCUUGAAGUACCACUGAAUGUUGUGACUGUCACUUCAUCUAAGAAACUCAAUAAGUACUCUGUUGCACGGGCUGAACCUAAUGGAAGUGUGCUAGGUGAAAGAUUGGGCAACGACCUGCACAAGGUAACAAAUAAAGUGAAGAAAAUGACCCAGAAACAAAUCUCAGCCUUUGAGAAAACUGGCGAGAUCUCAUUCUAUGAUCAUUGCCUGAAGCGAGAUGAUAUUAAGGUGGUUAGAGAUUUAAAGCCGGCAGUUUUAGCGAAUCAAGUUGGUGUCGCUAUAGAAGGUGAUAUCAUAGUUAUUUUGGAUCUCAGGGAUCAAAAUGCUGGAAUGGUUCUAGAGUGCAAAUCAGAGGAGAGGGAUGCCAGGCACCCACGUGUGGAUUGUGUGAGUCAACAAUCAGGAAAAAACUACAUUUCUGGAAUGGGAGUUCAAGGAUGGCUUCCUUAUUCUCCUCGCCCCCCUCUUCCUUCUCUUACUACUACUACUACCACCACCACCACCACCACUACAGAGGAGGAGGAAGAGGAGGAGGAGGAGGAGGAGGAGGAGGAGGAGGCAAAGCGGCUAGGUGUGGGCACUAAAGGUAAUGGAUCAGGAAAUUACAGAACCAAAGGUUCCGUUAUAGAUUCUGCAAUGAAAAAGUUUGAAAAAAUUGGGUCAGGAGGUUAUGGUACUGUCUACAAGGUAUGUAUGUAUGACACACUGGUUGCCAUUAAGAUCCUUCAUGCUGUAAGUGCAAUCGCGAAGAAGAAUGCGCAAUGUAUGAGAGCAUUUGACACAGAGGUGACUAUACUUGGUAAAAUUCAACAUCCUAAUCUUGUUCGAUUAAUUGGGGCAUGCAAAGAAAGGCUGGCAAUCGUUUAUGAGUUUCUUCCUAAUGGAACACUGGAUGAAAAAAUUCUCUUCCGCAGAGCCACAUUUACAUGGAGGGAGAGAGUCAAAGUUGCUUUUAGCAUAUGCGAUGCCCUUAUUUUCUUGCACAGCAGAUCAGAACCAGUUGCCCAUGGCGACUUGAAACCUAGCAACAUACUAUUUGAUGCAUCACAUAAUGUCAAGUUGGGGGAUUUUGGGAUAUCCCGUAUACUGAAAAAUACAAGCCACAGUGGUACUAAGAUGCAUGUGACCGGUGGUAAACGAGUUGGAACGCGUCAGUACGCUGAUCCAGAAUUUUUGAUGACUGGGCAGUUGACAUCACAGUCGGAUACAUUUGCUUUUGGAGUAAUUCUGAUUCAGCUUGUCACUGGUCGGUUUGCUGGCAUUAUUCAAUCUGUUAAAUCUCAGCUUUCUGAUUCUGGGUUCUGGAAAGAUGAUGAUCAGAAAAAUGCACUAAAAAAAACGAAAGUAAUUGAUGAGACAUUGCAAAUUUCAGAUAGUGAAAUUCUCGAGGUAAUAGAAAUGCUUAAGAUUGGUUUGGACUGUUGCAAUGAAAAACGAAAAGACCGUCCCAGUCUCGUGGAUAUUGUAUUUCCAAAGUUGAAAAUGUUGAAUGAAAAAACUGGUCAGUGCAAGGUGCCAGUUUGAAGCUACAAUAGUGCCAACAAAUUAAAUGCUAGUGUGCAAUUGCAGGUCGGUGCUCACAUACUGAAUCUAGGGCUCUGAAUUACUUCUCCCUGGCAACGCACUGGGUCUGGAUGGAUACAUGGCCAUAAUCUGAACUUGCUAGAACAUCAUCAAACAGAGCAUUAUGCAGGUGUUAUCGGUUUUCAGCAUGGAUAGCAGGAACUUCCACGGGUUGAAUGGUACAUAUGUGAAUCUGCCAUCUAAGAUCACAAUUGUGUCACGACCCAAGUACAGAGAUGGGACGGACAAACGGAUUCAGUACCAAUCGUUGAUACAAGUUGAAGAUACAGUGGAGAUUUGGGAUGAGAAAUCAGCAAAGAGAUGUGAGGAAUACAGAGAGGCGGAGGUGAGGAGCGAGAGCAGAGGUGAGGAGCUUCAGAAGUUUCAGUCAUUCAUUCGCUGCCCUUCCUUGUGCUCUCCUGAUUGCAUAUGUAGCCUGUGCUGUGUGGGAACUAACCUCCAAUGAACGGCCCAUCUCGUAGCCCAGGCCCAGUUACAAAGUAUAGGGUGACAGCCCAUGGGUGGGGUGUUACACUCUUCCUCCCUUGAAAUUCGGCUUGCCCUCAAGCCGAUGAUGAACAUCCUUGAAUCGGGAAUGCCGCCACACUCGCCUAGCCGAAGAGCGAAGCCACCUGGAUCAUAUAGUAGAAGUAUGUGCUUCCGGACGAUCGCACUGCUUAGCACAAGCUGAUGAAAGAAAUUGCAAUCCUCUUCAUAAGUUUGCUUGGUAGUGUUCAGUCCUCCCAACUCAAUGCCAAUUUUCUGAAUAUUUUCUAUUGCAUCACCAGGCGAACGCCCAUGCUGGCCUAAGAACACACUCUUGAGUAUUUGGGUCCAUGAAAUGGCUAGAGAAAAGGAGAAAAUGGAGAGCAGCCAAAGAAAGUUAUCCCACUGAUACUCUUCAGCAAACUGUUCCAACCAUAUGUACUGCUGCGAUCUUAGAGCCAAGGAGUCAAUGCAAAACACAACACCCUUUGGGUUGUCAGAAUCCAAUGAAAAAAGAAACUUGCAUGCCUCUAAAGCUGAGCAGUGACAACCAUGCCGAUCCAGGAUUUUCAUGUGACUGAGCAGGGAUGUAAGAAAUGGCUUAUUUAUGUCCUGGUUGUAUUUCAACUGGUAGUUGCCCUGCAGUGGACUAAAUAAUGGAUGCCAAGCACACUCCAGUGCAAAUAGACACUUCUCGACGGCAUCUGCUGAAGAGUGAUGUUCUCCAGAAUAUUUGAACAUAUCAGCAAAUGGUAAUAAUGAGUCUGGAUGGUAGGGGUAUUUGUCUAAUAUAGCAGCAAUAGUAUUGAGGUCAUUGGCUGAUUUGGUAGCUUCAAACAAUUUCUGCACAUGGCUGACAGAAGGAUCAUAUGCGUACCUGAAAUAAUUCAAACUGCCCUUUGUCUCUACAAAAUCCAUUGACAUUGACUUGUCCCAUGGUGGCCAGUACACUGUGCAGUGUUGCACCCUUUUUCUUGCUUGCGGCCAUGACCAGCAAGAAAUAAGCAGCUGGUUAGUAGGUCGGAGUUGUUGCAACAACAUGACUGCAGGUACCAAGGUGCCUUGAGGUUGAUGAUCCAUCUCAUAAUUCAGCCCUGCUAUGAACAUCUCCGAAACACUUUGGUGUUGAUGACGACGCCCGUCGCAGACGGUCCAGUCCACAAUAAAUUGCAGUGAACCCCUCUUGUACCAGCAAGUGAGAGCACUAAAUAUGUAAAUAAUUACAGUCCCUUGAAUCAUAUUGUAGUUCCCCUUGUACUGCUUCUGUAGAUGGUCAAACCCAAGUUCAACAAAGUUCCUGCUGUCAUGGUUCACCUGUACACCCCUAUUUGUCUGCUCUUGCUCGGGGGCUGGCCAUGGUGACUUCCCAAGCCAGUGAACUUGAUUUUUGAGGGAAGGAACCCAUAGCAUGCCUGUAGUUUUGUAUAGAAGGGUACCAACAUAUUUUGUACCAGUCGGAGGUGGUGGCCAAGAUCGCAGCUGAGUUGCUUGUGGAAGAAACACUAUGUUGGUAGUAGAACAAGCCAGUUCAGGUGACAACCUCCUAUGGGCACCACACCCCUGCAU